GGCUCAGGAUGAAUGCUGGCGGCGUGCCUAAUACAUACAAGUCGAGCGGUAACAGGGCUUCACCGUUCCUGACACUCCGGGCCAAGCGCGGGAGGUUGAAUUCGAGGGAACAGUGAAGCUGCUGACGAGCGGCGGACGGCUGAGUAACGCGUGGGAACGGACCCCAAGCUGAGGGAUAACUACUCGAAAGAGUGGCUAAUACCGCAUGUGAUCUUCGGAUUAAAGGAUUUAUCCGGUUUGGGACUGGCCUGCGUACGAUUAGAUAGUUGGCGGGGUAAUAGCCCACCAAGUCGACGAUCGUUAGAUGGUUUGAGAAGAUGAUCAUCCAGACUGGGACUGAGACACGGCCCAGACUCCUACGGGAGGCAGCAGUGGGGAAUCUUCCACAAUGGGCGAAAGCCUGAUGGAGCAACGCCGCGUGCAGGAUGACGGCCUUCGGGUUGUAAACUGCUUUUAUAUCCGAGAAAUAUGAUGGUAAGAUAUGAAUAAGGACCGGCUAACUACGUGCCAGCCGCCGC
rnacentral:rRNA from 1 species